rnacentral:rRNA from 1 species
AUUGAACGCUGGCGGCAUGCCUUACACAUGCAAGUCGAACGGUAACAGGUCUUCGGAUGCUGACGAGUGGCGAACGGGUGAGUAAUACAUCGGAACGUGCCCAGACGUGGGGGAUAACGAGGCGAAAGCUUUGCUAAUACCGCAUACGAUCUAAGGAUGAAAGCAGGGGACCGCAAGGCCUUGCGCGUUUGGAGCGGCCGAUGGCAGAUUAGGUAGUUGGUGGGAUAAAAGCUUACCAGGCCGACGAUCUGUAGCUGGUCUGAGAGGACGACCAGCCACACUGGGACUGAGACACGGCCCAGACUCCUACGGGAGGCAGCAGUGGGGAAUUUUGGACAAUGGGCGAAAGCCUGAUCCAGCAAUGCCGCGUGCAGGAUGAAGGCCUUCGGGUUGUAAACUGCUUUUGUACGGAACGAAAAGGCUCUGGCUAAUACCUGGGGCACAUGACGGUACCGUAAGAAUAAGCACCGGCUAACUACGUG